rfam:Selaginella moellendorffii unplaced genomic scaffold SELMOscaffold_58, whole genome shotgun sequence.
GGUUAAGGGUCUUGGGAUAUUUGGGGUUAAGUGUCCUUGAGUUUGAAUAGUACUGGGCUGGGUGACCUCCCGGGAAGUCUAAACUCAUGAGCU